GAGUUUGAUCAUGGCUCAGAUUGAACGCUGGCGGCAGGCCUAACACAUGCAAGUCGAGUGGAUGAAGGGAGCUUGCUCCUGGAUUCAGCGGCGGACGGGUGAGUAAUGCCUAGGAAUCUGCCUGGUAGUGAGGGAUAACGUCCGGAAACGGGCGCUAAUACCGCAUACGUCCUGAGGGAGAAAGUGGGGGAUCUUCGGACCUCACGCUAUCAGACGAGCCUAGGUCGGAUUAGCUAGUUGGUGGGUAAAGGCCUACCAAGGCGACGAUCCGUAACUGGUCUGAGAGGAUGAUCAGUCACACUGGAACUGAGACACGGUCCAGACUCCUACGGGAGGCAGCAGUGGGAAUAUUGGACAAUGGGCGAAAGCCUGAUCCAGCCAUGCCGCGUGUGUGAAGAAGGUCUUCGGAUUGUAAAGCACUUUAAGUUGGGAGGAAGGGCAGUAAGUUAAUACCUUGCUGUUUGACGUUACCAACAGAAUAAGCACCGGCUAACUUCGUGCCAGCCGCCGCGGU
rnacentral:rRNA from 1 species